UUUUAGAACAAAAUGAAUAGUUAAAGGGCUUAAACUAAACCAAAUUGUCUGAAAUUUUGUACAGUAAUUAAAAACCCGACAAAUUUUUAAUCUAUUAACUCAAAAUAUGAUUACAGCUUUUAAAUUUUGUGCGCGAGCCAUUUUUAGUUUGUUGGGAAAGACACACCCCCCUGGUUCACAGAAUUUGAGUUCGAGAAUUUUUUUUCAUUAUUUUACAUUAUAAGUACCCAAAGAAGCUAUAUAUAUAACUGAC